UUUCACCUUCACUGCUAGACCACUACUCGACCUCAUCACUCUACCUAGAGGUCGAGUACCUCCAUCACACCGCUCGACUGCAUACUCGAUGACAAGCUUCAGAGCCUUCUUCAUUUCGCACUCAACCAGACACUCGAGCACAAGGAAGAAAAGAAGACUCCAGCUAUUCACUCGACCUCUCACUCAACCACCUGGGUCGAGUACAGUUCUUAACCCAUCCAAAUACUUUGUCGUUUUGAGUAUUAGGGUUUCAGGAUAUUUGGCUAUAAAUAGCAUGUACUUCUCAUUUUCGCAGACAAGAAGUUUUUACCUAGUUUUAUUUCUGCAGACCUUGUGUUCUAGACUUUUUGUAAUCCGGAUUUCUCUUUAUCUAUUCAGUAUUCAGCUUUGGUUCUUGAUUUUCGUUUACUGUUGUUCAUUCUGUUAUCACACUACUGUUACA
rnacentral:sRNA from 1 species